rnacentral:tRNA from 1 species
GGUCUUCUGGCCCAAUGGCAAGGCGCUUGACUACGACUAAACAGCCGAUCAAGAGAUUGCAGGUUCGAUCCCUGCGGAGAUCA